rnacentral:lncRNA from 12 species
CCCCGAGCUGUGCUGCAGCACAGGGGAGGUGACAUCCCUGUGCCACCACUGCAGGUCUGCGCUCUCUGAAGGGCGUCCCACCACUCAGCACCCACUUCCCUUCUCCUUCAGCACAUCCCCAGUGCCCAGCAGAAAUUAGGACUGAAUCCAGGAAAUUCCAGCUGAGGAAAUCAAGCUCUAAACCAUUCCUGAAUGUCCCACCCAGCGAACAGAUGGAAUGCAGCUCGUUCCUUUGAGUCCAUCCAAACCAGGGCUGCAGUUACAUUUUGAAACCCUCAAGAUAUCACUUCCAAUGUCUCGUGGGGAGCUCAGAGCCCACAGAAAGUGCAAAAAGGCAGGAAUGGAGUUCCAGUGGGAAUGUGGGGUGAGGGGGCUGGAGAAAAUCUGCUUCCAUAUCACACCAGAAUUGGUCACAUCACUCAGCCCUGCUGGGAGCUCCAGGAGAUGACAAAUGCCACUAAUGCAGGAGGGCAAAGAGCCAGUGCCUUUUGUGCUGCUGUCCCCCAGGUUUGCUGC